rnacentral:rRNA from 1 species
AUUGAACGCUGGCGGCAGGCCUAACACAUGCAAGUCGAACGGUAACAGGAAACAGCUUGCUGUUUCGCUGACGAGUGGCGGACGGGUGAGUAAUGUCUGGGAAACUGCCUGAUGGAGGGGGAUAACUACUGGAAACGGUAGCUAAUACCGCAUAACGUCGCAAGACCAAAGAGGGGGACCUUCGGGCCUCUUGCCAUCGGAUGUGCCCAGAUGGGAUUAGCUAGUAGGUGGGGUAACGGCUCACCUAGGCGACGAUCCCUAGCUGGUCUGAGAGGAUGACCAGCCACACUGGAACUGAGACACGGUCCAGACUCCUACGGGAGGCAGCAGUGGGGAAUAUUGCACAAUGGGCGCAAGCCUGAUGCAGCCAUGCCGCGUGUAUGAAGAAGGCCUUCGGGUUGUAAAGUACUUUCAGCGGGGAGGAAGGGAGUAAAGUUAAUACCUUACUCAUUGACGUUACCCGCAGAAGAAGCACCGGCUAACUCCGUG